GACGAACGCUGGCGGCGUGCUUAACACAUGCAAGUCGAACGGAAAGGCCCUGCUUUUGUGGGGUGCUCGAGUGGCGAACGGGUGAGUAACACGUGAGUAACCUGCCCUUGACUUUGGGAUAACUUCAGGAAACUGGGGCUAAUACCGGAUAGGAGCUCCUGCUGCAUGGUGGGGGUUGGAAAGUUUCGGCGGUUGGGGAUGGACUCGCGGCUUAUCAGCUUGUUGGUGGGGUAGUGGCUUACCAAGGGUUUGACGGGUAGCCGGCCUGAGAGGGUGACCGGCCACAUUGGGACUGAGAUACGGACCAGACUCCUACGGGAGGCAGCAGUGGGGAGUCUUGCGCAAUGGGCGGAAGCCUGAUACGGCAACGCCGCGUGCGGGAUGACGGCCUUCGGGUUGUAAACCGCUUUCGCCUGUGACGAAGCGUGAGUGACGGUAAUGGGUAAAGAAGCACCGGCUAACUACGUG
rnacentral:rRNA from 1 species